rnacentral:rRNA from 1 species
UACGUAGGGUCCGAGCGUUGUCCGGAAUUACUGGGCGUAAAGAGCUCGUAGGUGGUUUGUCGCGUUGUUCGUGAAAACUCACAGCUUAACUGUGGGCGUGCGGGCGAUACGGGCAGACUUGAGUACUGCAGGGGAGACUGGAAUUCCUGGUGUAGCGGUGGAAUGCGCAGAUAUCAGGAGGAACAUCGGUGGCGAAGGCGGUCUGCUGGGCCGUUGCUGACGCUGAGGCGCGACAGCGUGGGGAGCAAACAGG